rnacentral:rRNA from 1 species
AUGGCCGAACCAUCCGUGAAGGGCCUCGGCAAAUCCUCCCCCGACGUGGUGGAGGGCAAUGAAGUUGAUAGGCUCAGCAAGUUGCCCGAUGACGUUUUGCUCAACAUUGUGGAGCGACUUGAUAUUGCUGAUGCAGCACGAACCACCAUCCUCUCCAGACGUUGGAAGCAGAUCCCUGCUAUACUCUCAAAGCUUAUCAUAAUGGUUGGUUCUUUUCAGCCCAAUCAUGAAAGUAGGAAGUUAACCUCAGAUGAUAUAGUUCGGGCCAAUACCACCGUGCUGGAAGCAACCAGGAGCAUACUGGAAAGGAGGGCUGGAAGUCCAUACACCAUUCACCUGUUGCGCAUGCAAUUCUACUUGGGAGAUGAGUCCAUUUUCAUUGGCCAGACUGUUGCCAACACCAUAGCAACACAAAAGGUUGCUUCAGUUGAGUUUACAAUCAUGACGAAGGUGCGCAAAAAGAUUACCAAUAAUGGGCUGCUCACUUAUGGGAGGCAGUUCAUGUCAUUUUUUGAUUCGUGCCCAAACACAUUUGGUGGUCUUGCACGCCUCACGCUAGAGAAUUUGAGGUUAGGCGAAUCAUACUUCCCCAAAAUUUUCAGUGUAUGCAAGCAACUGGAGUUACUCCGCCUCUACCACUGUGAUAUGGGCAUCGACUCUUUGUUGGAAGUGGAACACCCACAACUCAGUGAACUAGUGAUUGCCUGUAGCAGGCUUAUUAAGAGGGUUGAUCUGAAGUGGUUACCAAAACUCACAGUACUGAAAUUUAAUGUAUUUAGAUCUCAAGAUGGCCCCUUUUGUCUUGGUUAUGUCCCACUGCUCCACACUGUGACCAUCAUUAAUACUGGUUUUGCUUGGCACAAGAUGCUCAAGUUUAGUGAGUUGCUGGGUAAAACCGGCAUAAGCAACCUGCAUUUGGACUUCAGAAGCGAAAAGAUUUGGGUCAAACCGGAAGGUCGAAGACAAUUGUUACCGGUGUUCCACAAACUAACGCUUGUGAAUUUGCUUAACAUUUCUGAAGAAUGUGAUUUGACUUGGAUAAUGUUCAUACUCCAAGGUGCACCCACCCUUAAGGAACUACGCAUCUUGGUGCGGGAUCAUUUAUGUGAAAUGAUUUCGGGGGAGCAGAGGAAAAAAUUUGUGUUUAGCGAGGAGAAGGACAAUGGACUAGAGUGGGAACCUGCACCUGAUUUCAAGCACCACAACCUUGCCGAGCUCAGAAUGUAUGGGAGGUUUCGAGCACAAGACAACAUCGUGCGCUUUGUCAGGAAUGUCAUGGAAGCAGCGGUGAAUCUGGAGGACAUAAAACUUUUUAAGAGUCCAGUGUGUGAGAACUGCAAGCACAUGCUUCAGGAGUGGACAUUGAUGGAGAAGUCGUCGCUUAGCCACAAACUCAACAUGGGGAUGCUGUCUUCGAACGUCCAGAUUCAGUUCCCGAGUUUAGGGAAAUUUCGUACGUGGUCAAAAUACUGCUCUUAA